GUAUCUAUGGCUUCAGGAUAAACGCUAGCUACAGGCUUAACACAUGCAAGUCGAGGGGCAGCAUUUCAGUUUGCUUGCAAACUGGAGAUGGCGACCGGCGCACGGGUGAGUAACACGUAUCCAACCUGCCGAUAACUCGGGGAUAGCCUUUCGAAAGAAAGAUUAAUACCCGAUGGUAUAAUUAGACCGCAUGGUCGUUUGUUAUUAAAGAAUUUCGGUUAUCGAUGGGGAUGCGUUCCAUUAGGCAGUUGG
rnacentral:rRNA from 1 species